AACCUCUGCUCACUACCAUGUGCAGCAGGGACCAAGUUUAAUGCACUGACCAUUGUGAUAUAUUUAUCCAGACAUAACGGAUCAUCCGGCAAGUGAUUGACCUACCUUGUGCUGAUGUGUGGGUUCCGUCUUGUUCCAUGGCUCGGGGUUGCCAUUACGAUUCCAACUACAGACAACCUGACAUGGGGUCCCAUUGCCAGGCGCAAGAGAUACGCCCCAGACAUAACCGUCCCACCACCGAUGAAGAUGAAGAGGGGGACCAGCUGGAGGAAAUAGAAAAGAGUUAGGGGGAAACAAUGGAGGACAGGGUAAGGUGGCAAUCAAGGGAAAUAUGGCUAUCAUAGGGUUGACCCCAUUCAGUCAACUGAGCAAUUGUUUGGUCGAUAGAUUUUUUGUUUUUCAUGGCACAGUAGACUCCUGUCUGAUUCGUGCCCGUCUCUGUGGACUAAUCCAUUGCGGAGGCCGCUGGGGAUGGCAGUCCAUCAUACUAAGAUAAGCAUUCUCAACGCAAGGCACGGGUGCCAUGAGGGUAUUUGAGAACAUUUUGAAAACAAGUGAAAUUCCAUUGGUUUUCCAUAAAUGACUACUGCUUUGGACCUGAAGCUGAUUGUGAGAGUAUUCCUUAGGCCUACAGUAUGUGUGAAGAAAAUGUGUCUUAGGUAUAAUUUUAAAAAUGUUGCGUGAAGAAGGUAAGUGUGGCUUAGAUGUACAACGUUUGCGUCGCUCCAGAAUCUGCUCUCUCCCGCCAAUUCGUAUGCAUUCAUUGUUUCAUAAAUUCAUUGUGUGAAUUGGUUUGUAAUGGUGUCCAUCAAGUCACCAUUACAUACAUGACCAGUGGUACAUUUAAGGUUCAUUCCCACCAAUUCUAAGCUACGUUUGUUUACAGUAAUUUAUGUUAAUUCAAUAAAUUAUUAGUCGUUUACCAUUCUCAUUGUCGGAGCGGACACGUUUGCAGAGCUCACAAUUUAUGCGACACUUAUUUCACUCCAUUUACAAGUUUAGUCAACUUAUUAAUUGUAUUUUGUUUGGAGCGCUCCUGUCAAUGUUGAGUAAGGAGGCACACCCGAUUACACAGAAGUAAAUCUAGGCUACCUGGCCUACACACAAAUGUAUGAAUGUGCCCAUUUGGGGAUGUCCGAUAGUAUUUCUGAUGGUCUUAACUCACCACCACUAAUGAGCUUCCUUCUUCCUCAAACAGCAAGUCAGUCUUUACUUUACAUCCAAUGAGAAUUUAAAUAGUUCCUCACUGUAUUCGAAAAAUCUUUCCAGCUUGCUCACUUUCGAUAACCACCGAGCCUCAGCAUGAAAAUAUAAAAGUAAUGCUCUGGUCCAGUGGCUCAUUAAACUCUGAGGACCAAUAAGAGUUGAUACAGUUGCCAGUGCAAACUGUGGGCCAGACCCAGUUAAUACAAUGUUUCAAGUUCAUUGCAGAUGGAGUAGAGAGAUUAACUAUUGAAGAACAUGAAAUGAACAAACCUCCAUGCAUAGCCAAUGUGAUUUAUAGGAUAUUUAUUUUCAUCAGGAUAUGAUUUACUUGCAAUGUUAUUCGUUGGCUUUAUGUUGAUUAUUUUUACCUAGUUGGCAAUACAAAAAAAAAACGUUAUUGUAAUGGAAAUUAAGCUGUUCCACGAAAAUGUGGAUGAAAACCAUAACUGGUUAGAUAAAUUGUAAAUUGGCACUCCACAUGAAAAAGACAACCGGCCGCUGGUGUAGCCUAUUACCGGCAACUUCAGGAGCAUAAUGGCAGGACCGAGGAGGGUCGUCUAUAAAAAAAUAUUUAGUCAACUGGAUUGCUUUCCUCCCCCCCAAAAAAUACUUUCGCCAAAGUCCCGAGACCACAGUUACCCGAUUUCCACCAAAUAAACCUUGAUUUAAAAAAAGAAAGAAAAGUACUUUCAUAGCUAGUUAACCUUUUUCAAGAAAAAGCCACUACACUAGGUCGUUCUGUGACACUGGCAUAGUAACGUUAUGUCCUCGGUUAACCGCCUCGUCCUUGACUGAGUUGAGGUCUUUUUUGCCAGGUCGCAAUUCCAGCAACUAACCAUCUAGCUAAACACGCCUGCUCCCUCCCUUGGACAGUCACUUAAAACGUGUAAAUAAUAUUAACUAUACAUUCAAUUAUUUUUUAGACCUUGCCCUUUCAAGAACAUAACCCACACUUGCGCCAAAUAGCUACAGUAGCUAACUAGUUAGCAAACAGGGCCGUUUAGGUCUGUGGUAAAUGCCAUCACUUGUCAAUCAACGAUCAAUGCAGUAAACACCAUAUCGUUAUAUUCAAUCUUGUCGUCUUUUUCCAAACACGAAACACAUGACAAAAAGUCGACACUUGGGGGAAACGAGUAACGUAUUAAAAAUUGCAAUGUGGUUAGCUUCGAAGUUAACGUUAGCACGACGCAAAUCCCCCCCAAAUAAUCUAUACGAUUUAGCAAACUUCCCGAUUUCACAUGUACUUACUGCUGGGUGGCUUUUAAGCUGCCGGCUAACUGUGCUCAGCAUUGUGAGGGUUUACUUCUCCCAAUUUGUACAGCAAUAACCGGAUUAAUGUAGGCCUUGCCAGGGCAGGAACUGAGCGUAUUUUCAGAUGCGUUUCAGAGAUAUCAAUGAUUUUUUAUAACUAACCCAAGAUAUACCACAGAGCAGAUGAACGAAUCAUAGUGGGUCGAACAAGCAAGGAGGUGGGAGUAAAGCACGAGCCAGUGAGAUCCAUUCGUCCUUGCGCUCCUAAACAAUACAUUUUUUUUUUACUUUGGCAAAGGGUAAAGUCUACAGAUUCUAGUUUUGGAAACAGAAACCUGUAUGUCGAUAAACUGUUUCAGCGAUGAGAAAAUGUGCAGAAUCUCGGCCAAAGUCCAUCUCGUUCAAUCUUCUCCCACUGCCGGCCACAAGCUUCCUCACGUCACC
rnacentral:lncRNA from 1 species